rnacentral:rRNA from 1 species
GCAUGAAGCCGGUAUCGCUCGCAAUUGCGGCUCAGCACGCCGCGGUGAAUACGUUCCCGGGCCUUGUACACACCGCCCGUCACACCACGAGAGUUUGUAACACCCGAAGUCGGUGAGGUAACCUUUUGGAGCCAGCCGCCUAAGGUGGGAUAGAUGAUUGGGGUGAAGUCGUAACAAGGUAGCCGUAUCGGAAGGUGCGGCUGGAUCACCUCCUUUCUAAGGAA